GCUACGUUCACCGUCCUCAUGCGUUGAUUGGGCAGCGUUGGCGCCAGUUUUAGCAAGAUGGCGGUGGUAUAUAAAAAUUCAAUUAAACAAUGCGCGAGCAAAGUAUCAUCUCCUCUUCAUCACGCAGCUCCCCAAACAAAACAAACCCUGACCCACCUGGUACUGGAGGCUCUUGUGGCUCGUCCUCUACUCCUGCUGCCACUACAUCGUCCCCGUCUCCCUGACCAGGCUGACUGGGUGUGAAAUCAUCAUCAUGGAAAUUCCAGCAGUAUUGUAAUGUGAGUGGUACUUACGUCACACCAGCAGUUGAUGCACUUCAUCUCCCCCAUCGGCGGGAC